UACGUAGGGGGCAAGCGUUGUCCGGAUUUAUUGGGCGUAAAGAGCGUGUAGGCGGCCAUGUAGGUCCGUUGUGAAAACUCGAGGCUCAACCUCGAGACGCCGAUGGAAACCAUGUGGCUAGAGUCCGGAAGAGGAGAGUGGAAUUCCUGGUGUAGCGGUGAAAUGCGUAGAUAUCGUAAGGAAGACCAGUGGCGAAGGCGGGUCUCUGGACAGUUCCUGACGCUGAGGCACGAAGGCCAGGGGAGCAAACGGG
rnacentral:rRNA from 1 species